CCUACGGGGGGCAGCAGUGAGGAAUAUUGGUCAAUGGACGAGAGUCUGAACCAGCCAAGUAGCGUGAAGGAUGACUGCCCUAUGGGUUGUAAACUUCUUUUAUAUGGGAAUAAAAUGUUCCACGUGUGGGAUUUUGUAUGUACCAUAUGAAUAAGGAUCGGCUUACUCCGUGCCAGCAGCCGCGGUAAUACGGAGGAUCCGAGCGUUAUCCGGAUUUAUUGGGUUUAAAGGGAGCGUAGGUGGAUUGUUAAGUCAGUUGUGAAAGUUUGCGGCUCAACCGUAAAAUUGCAGUUGAAACUGGCAGUCUUGAGUACAGUAGAGGUGGGCGGAAUUCGUGGUGUAGCGGUGAAAUGCUUAGAUAUCACGAAGAACUCCGAUUGCGAAGGCAGUUCACUGGACUGCAACUGACACUGAGGCUCGAAAGUGUGGGUAUCAAACAGGAUUAGAUACCCGGGUAGUC
rnacentral:rRNA from 1 species